GUGGCCCGGCCCAUUGUGUGCUAGUCCCGCGGCUUCACCUGCAGCCGCCUCCUGCCACCGCCCCGCCCCACCCGUGGCGCGAGGCUUGCCCUACCUCGGGAAUCUCCGGGGGCUCUGUCCGCGCGCCUAGACGGCCGCUCUCCGGGCAGGCCUUGGACCCUGUGCCAGGCCUGCAGCCCUUGAUGGUGUCGCCUAGCUUUUCGUAAUCCAGAACUGGCGGGAACCCGGAAUCCUGCGCAGUGUGGCCGCACUCCGACACCUCUUCCCAGCCAAGGAGUCGCUGGCUUCCGCCACUGGGUUACUUAACUCCUCAAGGUUGGAGUCCCCAGAGCUGGGCACUCGCAGAGAAUGCACAGGGUCCAAAGGCUCUGAAGGGUGUCCCAGGCCAAAGUCACCUCCAGGUGCGAUCCUGGAAGAUAGGAACCAUGUUGCGAGGGUCCCUGUGUCAUCCGCCACAGAAGCUCUACAUGAGAAGAAGGAGUUAUGGAAUAUUCAAGUGGAAUUUUGACUGGAAUGAACAGUGAUGCAUAUGACGACUACAGAACUUUGUUGUCCCUCUCUUUUAGAAGAGAAUGAUGCAUCUGUGUACGAAGGAUACUUGCAGCGUUAGGUGGAAGCAUGAACUUGUUAGAGGUAGAUGGAAAUUGAAUAUGGUAGAAGGGUGUGUAUCAGUGAUGAGUAGCCAAACGGGGUGGGCCGUGCUGGUUAUUGUGUCUCAGCCCCAAACCCAUUCCAUUUUGUGUUCUGUGA